rnacentral:rRNA from 1 species
AGCAGCCGCGGUAAUUCCAGCUCCAAUAGCGUAUAUUAAAGUUGUUGCAGUUAAAAAGCUCGUAGUUGAAUUUCGGGAUCAGAUUGUCGGUCGUGCCUCGGUACGCACUGGCAUUAUUGGUUCCUACCUUCUGAAGAACCGCGAUGUCAUUAAUUUGGUGUCGUGGGGAAUCAGGACUGUUACUUUGAAAAAAUUAGAGUGUUUAAAGCAGGCGCACGCUUGAAUACAUUAGCAUGGAAUAAUGAAAUAGGACGUUUGAUUCUAUUUUGUUGGUUUCUAGGAUCGACGUAAUGAUUAAUAGGGAUAGUUGGGGGCAUUAGUAUUCAAUUGUCAGAGGUGAAAUUCUUGGAUUUAUUGAAGACUAACUACUGCGAAAGCAUUUGCCAAGGAUGUUUUCAUUAAUCAAGAACGAAAGUUAGGGGAUCGAAGACGAUCAGAUACCGUCGUAGUCUUAACCAUAAACUAUGCCGA